rnacentral:tRNA from 1 species
UGGGGUAUCGUCUAAUGGCAGGACUCUGGCUUUUGGUGCCAGCUAUCGGGGUUCGAAUCCCUGUACCCCAGCCA